AUGGCAUCCCUGACCCUACGCAACAAGCCAGUGACUCUGUGUUGGGUGUUCGGCGGAGGGACCAAGCUGACCGUCCUAGGUCAGCCCAAGGCUGCCCCCUCGGUCACUCUGUUCCCGCCCUCCUCUGAGGAGCUUCAAGCCAACAAGGCCACACUGGUGUGUCUCAUAAGUGACUUCUACCCGGGAGCCGUGACAGUGGCCUGGAAGGCAGAUGGCAGCCCCGUCAAGGCGGGAGUGGAGAUCACCACACCCUCCAAACAGAGCAACAACAAGUACGCGGCCAGCAGCUACCUGAGCCUGACGCCCGAGCAGUGGAAGUCCCACAAAAGCUACAGCUGCCAGGUCACGCAUGAAGGGAGCACCGUGGAGAAGACAGUGGCCCCUACAGAAUGUUCAUAGGUUCUCAACCCUCACCCCCCUCCAUGGGAGCCUAGAGCUGCAGGAUCCCAGGGGAGGGGUCUCUCCUCCCACCCCAAGGCAUCAAGCCCUUCUCCCUGCACUCAAUAAACCCUCAAUAAAUAUUCUCAUUGUCAAUCAGAAA